GAUGAACGCUGGCGGCGUGCCUAAUACAUGCAAGUCGAGCGAACAGAUAAGGAGCUUGCUCCUUUGACGUUAGCGGCGGACGGGUGAGUAACACGUGGGUAACCUACCUAUAAGACUGGGAUAACUUCGGGAAACCGGAGCUAAUACCGGAUAACAUUUGGAACCGCAUGGUUCUAAAGUGAAAGAUGGUUUUGCUAUCACUUAUAGAUGGACCCGCGCCGUAUUAGCUAGUUGGUAAGGUAACGGCUUACCAAGGCGACGAUACGUAGCCGACCUGAGAGGGUGAGCGGCCACACUGGAACGGAGACACGGUCCAGACUCCUACGGGAGGCAGCAGUAGGGAAUCUUCCGCAAUGGGCGAAAGCCUGACGGAGCAACGCCGCGUGAGUGAUGAAGGGUUUCGGCUCGUAAAACUCUGUUAUUAGGGAAGAACAAAUGUGUAAGUAACUGUGCACGUCUUGACGGUACCUAAUCAGAAAGCCACGGCUAACUACGUG
rnacentral:rRNA from 1 species